rnacentral:rRNA from 1 species
GACGAACGCUGGCGGCGUGCUUAAUACAUGCAAGUCGAACGGAAAGGCCCUGUGCUUGUGGAGUGCUCGAGUGGCGAACAGGUGAGUAAAACGCGAGUAACACGUCCUCGACUUAGGGGUAACACCAGGAAACACGGGCUCAUACCGGACAGGAUCCCCUGCUGCACGGUGGCGGUAGGCAAGAGUCGGCGGUUGGGGAUGGACGUGCGGCUUAUCAGCUUGUUGGUGGGGUAGUGGCUUACCAAGGCUUUGACGGGUAGCCGGCCUGAGAAGGGGACCGGCCACAUUAGGACUAAGAGACGGCCCAGACUCCUACGGGCGGCAGUAGGCGAGAAUAUUGUGCAGUGAGCGCAAGUCUAAUGCAGCAGCGCCGCGUGCGGGAUGACGGGCUUCGGGAUAUAAACCGGUUUCGCCUGUGACGAAGUGUGAUUGACGGUAAUGGGUAAAGAAGCCCCGGCUAACUACGUG